rnacentral:rRNA from 1 species
AACGUAGGUUCCGAGCGUUAUCCGGAUUUACUGGGCGUAAAGCGCGUUCAGGCGGUUUGGCAAGUCGGGCCUGAAAUCUCUCGGCUCAACCGGGAGAGGUUGUCCGAUACUGUUAGACUUGAGGGCAGUAGAGGGUGGUGGAAUUCCGGGUGUAGUGGUGAAAUGCGUAGAGAUGCGGAGGAACACCGAUGGCGAAGGCAGCCCCGUGGGCUAGCACUGACGCUCAGGCACGAAAGCGUGGGGAGCAAACAGG